rnacentral:rRNA from 1 species
AUUGAACGCUGGCGGCGUGCCUAACACAUGCAAGUCGAGCGGUAACAGGUGUAGCAAUACAUGCUGACGAGCGGCGAACGGGUGAGUAAUGCUUUGGAAUCUUCCCAGUAGUGGGGAAUAACCAGUCGAAAGAUUGGCUAAUACCGCAUACGUCUGUAAAGGGAAAGCGGGGGCUCGUAAGACCUCGCGCUAUUGGAUGAGCCAAAGUCGGAUUAGCUAGUUGGUGGGGUAAUGGCCUACCAAGGCGACAAUCCGUAGCUGGUCUGAGAGGACGACCAGCCACACCGGAACUGAGACACGGUCCGGACUCCUACGGGAGGCAGCAGUGGGGAAUAUUGGACAAUGGGGGAAACCCUGAUCCAGCGACGCCGCGUGUGUGAAGAAGGCCUGCGGGUUGUAAAGCACUUUUAGUGGGGACAAAAAGCUACGGAUUAAUACUCUGUGGUCUUGAUUUAACCCAAAGAAAAAGCACCGGCUAACUCUGUGCCAGCAGCCGCGGUAAUACAGAGGGUGCGAGCGUUAAUCGGAAUUACUGGGCGUAAAGCGCGCGUAGACGGUUUUGUAAGUCAGAUGUGAAAUCCCUGGGCUCAACCUGGGAACUGCAUUUGAUACUGCA